UACGAAGGGGGCUAGCGUUGUUCGGAUUUACUGGGCGUAAAGCGCACGUAGGCGGAUCGUUAAGUCGGGGGUGAAAUCCUGGAGCUCAACUCCAGAACUGCCUUCGAUACUGGCGAUCUUGAGUCCGGAAGAGGUGAGUGGAACUCCUAGUGUAGAGGUGGAAUUCGUAGAUAUUCGGAAGAACACCAGUGGCGAAGGCGACUCACUGGCCCGAUACUGACGCUGAGGCGCGAAAGCGUGGGGAGCAAACAGG
rnacentral:rRNA from 1 species